GACGAACGCUGGCGGCGUGCUUAACACAUGCAAGUCGAGCGGUAAGGCCCUUUCGGGGGUACACGAGCGGCGAACGGGUGAGUAACACGUGGGUGACCUGCCCUCAGCUCUGGGAUAAGCCUGGGAAACCGGGUCUAAUACUGGAUAUGACUCCAUGACGCAUGUUGUGGGGUGGAAAGCCUUGUGCGGCUGAGGAUGGGCCCGCGGCCUAUCAGCUUGUUGGUGGGGUGANGGCCUACCAAGGCGACGACGGGUAGCCGGCCUGAGAGGGCGACCGGCCACACUGGGACUGAGACACGGCCCAGACUCCUACGGGAGGCAGCAGUGGGGAAUCUUGCGCAAUGGGCGAAAGCCUGACGCAGCGACGCCGCGUGAGGGAUGACGGCCUCGGUUGUAACGUAC
rnacentral:rRNA from 1 species